rnacentral:snRNA from 1 species
GCCUUCGGGCAAUUGGUCAAUUGAAACGAUACAGAGAAGAUUAGCAUGGCCCCUGCACUAAGGAUGACACGCUCAAUCAAAGAGAAGCUACCAUUUUUU